UAGUCAAUUAAUGAAAGAAGUUUUGUCCUCAGUAACUUUUUCCAAUUCCUUUUGCACUAAAUAUGAUUUACUGGUAUUAAUAGUUUAACUUUGAAAACAAGAACAGAGAAACAACUUAAAACGGGACUAAGGCCGCAAAUAAUAAAAAGAAACACAUAAAAUAAAAUAAGAAACCCGGGACGUUUUGCAGGGAUAACACCCGCAUUUUCAACUGGCAAAACAAGAAAAAUUAAAAAAAGGACACUAUGAGCCUCACCGUUGUUAUUGUGAGACUAACAAUUGAAAACAAGUAUUGAAAACAAGUAUCCUCAUUUGUAUCUUUGCAAUUGUCCUUUCAUACUCAACUGUUCUUAUCUUAACUUUGAUUUCCUUUCCUCUACAGGUAUUAUGCCGAGCUGUAUCGUGACAGAUCCAGGAGUCGUGAACGGGAUCGUGAACGCGAGUAUAGGGAAAGGAGCCGAGAAGACAGUUCUUCGCGGGCAGCAAGAUCUCGGGCAGUUAAGUCACCUGUCGACCCUGUUGAGGCACCAGUUGUUGUGAGCUCCAAAUCAAGAACAGGGGGAUCAAACAUAAUUUCAUCUAGGGCAGCAUUGGAAACUUCAGAGAAUGUUAAGAGCCAAUCCAGGUCUUAUUACGAUGAUCGUUAUCGUGAACGAGAACGUGACACAAGGGACCGUGAUCGUGACAGGGAAGAGAACGGGAACGAGAGUCUUCAAGAAGAGAUCCAGAACGCGACCGUGAAAGAGAGAGGGAAAGGAGAGAAGAACGGUCUGAAUCCACGCACCACAGCUCCAGACAUUAAUGACAAGACGUUGUCGUUUGCUGCUAUAUCUCCGUAUUCUGCUCUAUCCAACCGUUUCGUAGAUUUAAGAAAGUAG
rnacentral:lncRNA from 1 species